CCUACGGGAUGCUGCAGUGGGGAAUAUUGCACAAUGGGGGAAACCCUGAUGCAGCGACGCCGCGGGAGUGAAGCAGUAUUUCGGUACGUAAAGCUCUAUCAGCAGGGAAGAAAAAAAGUCCUUUGGACUUUGGACGGUACCUGACCAAGAAGCCCCGGCUAACUACGUGCCAGCAGCCGCGGUAAUACGUAGGGGGCAAGCGUUAUCCGGAUUUACUGGGUGUAAAGGGAGCGUAGACGGCAGCGCAAGUCUGGAGUGAAAUGCCGGGGCCCAACCCCGGAACUGCUUUGGAAACUGUGCAGCUGGAGUGCAGGAGAGGUAAGCGGAAUUCCUAGUGUAGCGGUGAAAUGCGUAGAUAUUAGGAGGAACACCAGUGGCGAAGGCGGCUUACUGGACUGUAACUGACGUUGAGGCUCGAAAGCGUGGGGAGCAAACAGGAUUAGAUACCCGUGUAGUC
rnacentral:rRNA from 1 species